GAAUCCUACCAGGGAGGGGAGGGAAGACGGAUGGAGGAGUCAAGGCUGUCGCCGGCAACGUGCACGCCCCUUUCUCUUUCGUGGAACCUCCCCUUUCUAGUUUCCUUAUCCACCUGUGCACCCUUUGUAGGCCCUCGAAAGAGGAUCUACGUUUUCUCUAUAUACGCUUUUUGCUAUGCAUGUCCAGAAUGUAUACAAACUUUACAACUUUCAGCAACGGAUCUCUUGGCUCU
rnacentral:misc_RNA from 1 species